rnacentral:tRNA from 1 species
GCCUUCAUGGUGUAGUGGUCAGCACACUCGACGCGUAACCGAGAGGUCCAUGGUUCAAUUCCCGGGGAGGGUA